CAACCCUUAAGCCUAGCUUAGUAUUGGGAACUUACUCUUCUGUAAUUCCUCAAAUCCAACGGCGGAUCUGUGGUAUCCUCUGAGCGUAGUAAAUUCUUAUCUCGCUUUUGUCAGGUGCCGCAGCUCCUCGGCCGCUAAACCCCCCAAACUUUUAAU
rnacentral:misc_RNA from 1 species